AGAAGUUCAUCAAAGUGCCUAAAACGAAAUUGGAGUACUAGAGUUCUGCAAAUCUGCAGGGAGUUCGCAAUGACCAGGCCCGAGCGUACCAAAAACAAAGGUCUCCGCAAAGUUGUAAGACCAUGUAUGGGGGUUGAUGCUUGCCCAGUGCCGGAAGGUCAAGGAAGUUGGUGACUUGAUGAUAGGGGAGCCGAUGAUCGAAGCCCCGAUGAACAGCGACCGUAACUAUAACGGUCCUAAGGUAGUGAAAUUCCUUAUCGGGUAAGUUCUGACCCGCACAAAAGGCGUAACGAUCUGGGCACUAUCU
rnacentral:ncRNA from 1 species